UACGGAGGGUGCAAGCGUUAAUCGGAAUUACUGGGCGUAAAGGGUGCGUAGGUGGUUUAUUAAGACAGGUGUGAAAGCCCCGAGCUUAACUUGGGAAUUGCGCUUGUGACUGGCGUGCUGGAGUGUGGCAGAGGGAGGUGGAAUUCCACGUGUAGCAGUGAAAUGCGUAGAGAUGUGGAGGAACACCGAUGGCGAAGGCAGCCUCCUGGGCCAGCACUGACGCUCAUGCACGAAAGCGUGGGGAGCAAACAGG
rnacentral:rRNA from 1 species